UCUAUGCACUACCGUGCUGGCUAGGGUUAGGGUUGGAGAUUCAAUUAAGUCCAUCGCCUCGUCUCCGCCUUUGCCGACAUUUCAGCACCGUCGAGAUUAAAGAAGAUGGACUACGCUUCAAAAAAAUUGAAGAAGAUGGACGACGCUACUUCCAUAGCUUCUCUUCCCCAAGAGAUAAUUCUCAAAAUUCUCACCACUCUCCCUCCCAAAUCUGCAGUCUCUUUCAGGUGCACCUCUAAAUUCUUCUAUUCUUUCAUCCCUCAGCCGCACUUCGCGUUUAGAAUCCUCUUCUGGGUCUCAUCCACAAAUCUGAACACUGUGGGAUACACUACUGAAGAGAGCCAUGGAAGGCUCCAACCCAGCAGUCUCCAAUGCUCAGCAGAUGAAUUGCAGCGUUUUAAACGACUACGACUGGGUGGUUCAAGCUUUGCAGAUGGCAAGCUAAGCUUUGUCUGUUCAGCAGAAGUGGAGAGAUUACUAUCUUGGACCUUAGUACAAGACAACAUAUUUCUCUUCCCCAAACAUUUGUGGAGCCAGAGCCAGGGUGUAGGGACCGGUGGACAAAAAUGAAUUCCAGUGUCGAAAAGGUACAAGGUUUUGAAGUCAGAAUUAUACGGUAAUAUUACUCACCAAUAUCACCAGGGUAUGUUGAGGGUUUUAACUCUUGGGGUGGAUGAAUCAUGGAGGGCGGUGACUACAGAAAACUCCUUCCUCCCUCGCAAGCCCUAUGCUAGCUAGUGUUCAAAUUGAUGGUAUUAUCUAUUUGAUACAUUUUAAGAUAAAUUGCAUGAAUGAACAAGAAAUAAUUGUAUUUGAUAUUGAGACGGAGAAUUUAAUUAGGGUGAUAUCUUUUCCCUAUAUAUUCCAACACUCACGUGUUUCGCCCAUGACGUAUCGAAUUAAAUGGUCGACUAGCUUAUAUUUAUGUUGAUGUAAAAGAAAGGACCCGAAUAUUUGUUUGUACUUUGGGACUGGAGUGGGACAAACAUGAGGUUCCUCUUACAUUGGAAGAGGCAAAAAUUAUUAGCCAAGCUGAAUUCAUGAGCUUUACAACCAAUAGUAUUGGAGAAAUUGUGUUCUUGGGAGUAUGCCUCCUACAAUUUUAAUUUAUGCAUGGGGAACACAAUUAUGGCGAAAGUUUGAGAUUACUGGUUAUUCACCUUUUGAAAAUUUGAGAAGGAUGAUUGUGCAUGCUAUAGAAGAAAAAGUAUAUUUUUCUGAAUAAAUUAUUCAGAAGAUGGAUCGGAUUGGAGAUAAGCGAAAGAAUAGAUUGAAGAUAAACUUAAAGCUUCCGUACGUGUAUGUUAGCCAAAGCCAAAGGGAAAUUAAAGUAUAUUACUGAGUCUGAAUGAAUUAGAAUAUUUAGUUUAUUUUCAUAAUCUGCCCAUCUUGUAUUACUUUUAUCUAAAUGGAUUUAAUUUAUCUUAAUUUUAUA